rnacentral:rRNA from 1 species
CUACGGGCCGCAGCAGUGGGGAAUAUUGCAUAAUGGGCGAAAGCCUGAUGCAGCAACGCCGCGUGAAGGAAGAAGGUUUUCGGAUCGUAAACUUCUAUCAGCAAGGAAGAUAAUGACGGUACUUGACUAAGAAGCCCCGGCUAACUACGUGCCAGCAGCCGCGGUAAUACGUAGGGGGCAAGCGUUAUCCGGAAUUACUGGGUGUAAAGGGUGCGUAGACGGUAAUGUAAGUCAGGUGUGAAAGCCCGAAGCUCAACUUCGGGACUGCACUUGAAACUACAUAACUAGAGUACAGGAGAGGAAAGUGGAAUUCCUAGUGUAGCGGUGAAAUGCGUAGAUAUUAGGAGGAACACCAGUGGCGAAGGCGACUUUCUGGACUGUAACUGACGUUGAGGCACGAAAGCGUGGGGAGCGAACAGGAUUAGAUACCCGCGUAGUC